rnacentral:lncRNA from 10 species
AAAAUGUUGCAUUCAAUUUUGGAAUGUGAAGAGAUCAUUUGAAGCCGAUCCAGAGGCCUCUAAGAUGUCUUAAAACUAUUUAAGGGGAUCCACGCAAAAUGUUGUUCCCUUAAAAGAGGGCACAUCUCUCUCACGUGGAGAAAUACUGGUAAGAGGAAAAGACUUUCAAGUCAACCAACUUGAUGUGGUGUGCAGGUGCUGCAAUUUACUUCAGACAUUGCAUCUAUAAAAGAAAGAUAAGGUCUCGGCUGGCAAGAUGGCCUAAGAGGAACAGCUCCAGUCUGCAGCUCCCAGCAAGAUUGAUGCAGAAGUGACCGGAUCUCACUCUGGCACCUAGACUGGAGGGUACUGGCAUGAACUCCUGGGCUCAGAUGUCCUCCCACCUCCACCUUCUGAGUAGCCGGAAUUACAGGAAUGAACCAUCAUGCUCAGAUUUCAAGCUCCCUGAAGAUGAAGGCUGAAUCCUACACCUCGCUUGUAUCCUCCAUGGCUCAUUGAACAAGUGCUAGCUAGCUACAUGGAGACUGCUCAAUAAAUAUUGAAUAACUCA